CUCUGGUUUGAUUUGUCAAAACUUGAAGUGCUAUUUCCAUGAUUUUUUUAGGAGUUUUUGCUGUCCAGAUGCGAAUGUUAGCUUAUCAAUCCCAUACUGGUUUCUCCUUUAUAUCGUCACAUGUGCAGAGUGCACAACAGAGAUUCAGUGGUUAGGUUUCACUUUGCAAAACAGACUCGGCAUGCUAUGCUAUGCUUUUCAUGUGGUUGCUACUUUAAUCAUGACCAACCUGGUCAUUGCAAAGCACCUGCCAAUUGAAGAAGGAAGGAAAGAAGACCUGAAUAUCCAUUCUGAUGGGCCAUAUUGUCCCUUUUCUCAUAGAAUAACUGGUAGUUCUGCCUUUUGUUAGCUGUAGUGGUAUACAAUCUGGAUUCCUUGUUACCGAAUCCCAGACUAUGGUACUUUGUCACAGUUUGGGUACAUAGUGCGGGUGAUAUUUUCACCAGGUUACUGGAAAUCUCAGUGUCCCCUUCAGAAAGCAUAAAUUAUUUGAAACUCAAGGAACAAGGACAGUUCUCCUGUCAAAUCCCCUUUCUAUCUCACUCUCUUUUCAGUCUUAAAUUAUUUGGAGGAGUUUUUCUUAUUUUUAAUGAUGCUGGCUUAACUAAUUUGUCUAGUUGUGGCUUCUUAACUAUGCUUACUAUUUCUUGCAUUCUUUUCUUUCUUUCCUUUUCCUUUGGUCAAGUAGCAUAGUAUUCCAUGCAACAUGCACAAAGCUUGUAGUGAAGGUCUUCAACUUGCAAGCUUGAUUGACUUUUUUUAUUUUUUUCAUAAUUUAUCACCAUUACUUGUGCCUCGUUAUGAAAUUGAAUUAUUGACUUCAGUGUAAGCAUUCAAUUGCAGUUUAUUGUCUGCAAGUUUUGAUUAGAAAACAUGAAUAUUGACAUGACUUAUCCAGAGUCAAAAAGGUUGAUGAUUAACCUCUUUGCAGAUGAAAAGCGGAUGUAGGCCUGGUGAGGUUGUUUGGAAGAUGUGACAAUUAAGAGAAUGAGAUUUCUUUUGCCAAGAUGGAGCGAGUUUAGGUAGGUAACAGAUAGGGUUCUCCUUACUCCCAGCACCCUGUUGAUGGUUCCAAGCAUCAAGCAGAGAAAUGUGCUUUGGUUAUCUAAUUCAUCUGUUUUCUGCGAUCUCAUUCAUUUCCUAUAAAGUUUAGAGGCCUAGUGGAUGUGAUCAUUUUUUUUCCCUCUGAAUGCUGAACAUAGAUGUCUUGAUCUAUAACAGUGUUAAGUUGCACUCCCGAUGCUGACCAAUAUCUGACUGGAUGGUGAGAAAUUAGCUUUUCACACAGAAUCCCAGUGUCAUUAUUUUUAAUUCUUAGAUUGAGAGCACUUGUCCAUGACUGAGAAAAAAAGUUCAAAAAUUUCAUCCCAUAAGUUUGGAAUGACUUUUUCUUCUUCUUUAUUCUCUCAUAUAUUUACCAUUCAUAAUCAAAAUAAUGUUCUGUUUUUUCUUCUGGUAUUAUAUGGCUCUAAGUUGCUAUACGAUACUCUAAGGGAAAUAUGCAAUACUGAUGCAUAUGGGCAACUACAAAUAUUCCAAUAUUGGGUUCUCUGUGAUUGAAAUAUUUAAAAGAUUUGGUGGAUGAACAUUGAGCCCUCUUAAAUUGCGCAAAAAGUGGGAAAUGCUGAUUGGAACAGUUGAUGAGGGAGGACAAUAAGGCAUGAUGAGAAAAUAGGAAGGACUUUUAGUUGUGUAAAGAUGCUGUUGCUAAGGUGAUGAGAUUGAUGACAGAGUGGUGCCACAAGCAGAAGGGGUAAUGAGGAAAAUGUUCCAAAAGGCACAUGAUACAAAGUGAAGCUAUUGAUCAGGAAGUGCUUGAGUUGUGGUUCUGCUGAUUGGAGAGAGGGUCCAGUGCGAGGUUGUUAGGAGUAGUUGAAAAUCAAGUUUUGUGCCAAGGUGCAGAUAGAGAAAGGGAUUUUAGCACGUGAGAAUGCUCAAGACAGAGCAUAAGGGUAUGCACGGACUUGCGUAGUGAGUUUAAUGCAUAUUUUACUUCGUGGCUGCAUUGGCUUUCUAAGAUUGUUGUAAUUUUUAGUCUCCUCUGGCAUAUGUGAUGCUCAUUUUAUGGUUUUGUAUCUCUCCAGAUUUGAUGAUCACUCAAAAGAAAGUUUAUUGAAGAAUGCUUUUAUUAUCUCCAUAUAAAAAUUGCAUGUAAGAUGAUAACUUGAAGUUCUGGAAUUGUCUGUGAUUGGAAAUUUUUCCGAGUAUGAUUA